rnacentral:ncRNA from 1 species
ACGAUAAUGGCAAACCUGUCUAAAGACAGGGACGCAAAGCUAUAGGGCCUUCCUGCUUGCUUUCAAGCAGAUGGCAGCCAGUUACCGA